rnacentral:misc_RNA from 1 species
GAAAUGCGAUACGUGAUGUGAAUUGCAUACUCGUGAAUCAUCGAAUCUUUGAACGCAAAUGGCGCUCGGCCGCUUCGGUGUGCCGAGCAUGUCUGUUUGAGGGUCAGUUUCACCUGCUUCUCGCUUUUCUCUCUUUUAUGGAGAGAAAAGGAGAGAGACGAUGGGAUCUCACUGGCACGUAACUGUGCAGGUGACUUCCUGAAACGCAUUUUUUUUCAAAUGAACAGAAAAAAGACGAGUUCCGAGGUCCCGACCUUUUUCUUAGACGGGACCGAUCACAGCAAUGUGACCGGGCAAACCUUUUCUUCUAUCACAACAAAACUAAAUGACCUCAAAUCAGGCAAGAGCACCCGCUGAACUUAA